AGAUAAAGACGGAGGUAUUCGGAGAGACAGGUGGUGCAUGGUUGUCGUCAGCUCGUGUCGUGAGAUGUUGGUUAAGUCCCGCAACGAGCGCAACCCUACUUGCUAGUUACCAUCAUAAGUUGGGGACUCUAGCGAGACUGCCAGUGAUAAACUGGAGGAAGGUGGGGGAUGACGUCAAAUCAUCAUGCCCCUUAUGACCUGGGCUACAAACGUGAUACAAUGGCUGGAACAAAGGGAUGCGAAGCAGUGAUGUGGAGCGAAACCCAUAAAAACAGUCUCAGUUCGGAUUGAAGUCUGCAACUCGACUUCAUGAAGUCGGAAUCGCUAGUAAUCGCGGAUCAGAACGCCGCGGUGAAUACGUUCUCGGGGUUU
rnacentral:rRNA from 1 species